CAACCAUCAAGCCCCAGGCUUGUGUUGGGGACCUGCGGCUGCCGCAGGCCCUGAAAUCCAGUGGCGGGUUCGCUGUCACCCCGAGCGUAGUAGCAAUAUCUCGCUCAGGGCGUGCUGCGGGCACCGGCCGUUAAAAGCUGCCUUCUGGCAACACCCAA
rnacentral:misc_RNA from 1 species